rnacentral:rRNA from 1 species
CUCGGAGUUUGAUCCUGGCUCAGAUUGAACGCUGGCGGCAUGCCUUACACAUGCAAGUCGAACGGUAACGCGGGGCAACCUGGCGACGAGUGGCGAACGGGUGAGUAAUAUAUCGGAACGUGCCCAGUAGUGGGGGAUAGCCCGGCGAAAGCCGGAUUAAUACCGCAUGAGACCUGAGGGUGAAAGCGGGGGAUCGCAAGACCUCGCGCUAUUGGAGCGGCCGAUAUCAGAUUAGCUAGUUGGUGGGGUAAAGGCCUACCAAGGCAACGAUCUGUAGUUGGUCUGAGAGGACGACCAGCCACACUGGAACUGAGACACGGUCCAGACUCCUACGGGAGGCAGCAGUGGGGAAUUUUGGACAAUGGACGCAAGUCUGAUCCAGCCCAUUCCCGCGUGCAGGAU